AUGCGAUUUCCAGCGGCAUUCCUCCUCCCGUCCGCUGGAAGGUGAGGCCGGGCUUCUCCUCCCGUUCGGUCUCCUUCUCAGAAAAGGCCGGGUUCCUCCCCCGGCCUUUUUCU
rnacentral:sRNA from 1 species